UAUAUUUAAUCUAGCAACAGCAUUGUGAAAUUUUAUAAAGAUGCGUUUGGUCAUUAACUUUUAAAUGCGUCAUUAUGCAAACAUGAGGAGAGUUCUUCGCAUGAAAGACCAAUGACUGUGCACUCAAUGUGCUGCUACUUUUCUCUCCGAGUCCGAAAUGGAGCAGAAGGGACGUUUGGACCUACUGCCAGCAGGCUGUAACAGACAGAUGGGUUUUCACACAAACAACAGAAAACAUCAAGAGCAGUCAGGCUGGCACACACAGAAGAAUCAGCAAAGGGAAGAAAGUCUGGAUAAUGAGACACUGCUAGCAUGAGAUGAUAAUUCACUCUGUGCUGUGAGAAGACAAACUGUCCAGUCCAUUUAGAGUUCAACUCCAUAGUUACAAAGCCAUAUGCAGAUGGCGGCCAAACGUCAGAAUCCUGUUGAUAUCAAGUUAUCCAAACCGCACACCAAUGAAGUUUUGAACUCGAAGGACAAUUCUGAGAAAAAAGGGUGUUUCACUCCUGUACCUUCCCAACGAUGGGCAGGUCCACUGAACCCCAUGUGUCAGCACCCCAAUGGACCAGACCAGAGGCAAAGUCUGCUGUGAGGAUCCCUGCCACUUCACACACACACACACACACACACA